UAUAGACUGGCGAAGAUGAAAUCUCAAGACCCAGUUUGGACUAACGGAGGCGAAGGCGACACUCUUAGACGUAUCUUAGGAUCAAGGACGAAGGCAGGAGUAUCGAAAGUGAUUAGACACCGCUGUAGUUCCUGCAGUAAACUAUGCCGACAGCCUGUGUGUGAGAAUACGUGGGCGGGAGAAAUCUUAGUGUUCGGGCUCUGGGGAUAGUACGCUCGCAAGGGUGAAACUUAAAGCGAAAUUGACGGAAGGACACUACCAGGAGUGGAUUGUGCUGCUUAAUUUAACUCAACGCGGGAAAACUUACCAGGGUCAAGUCAUUCGUUGAUCGAAUACGUGAGAAUGGCAGGAGUGGUGCAUGGCCGUUGGAAAUUGAUGGGGCGACCUUUAGCUUAAAUGCUUAAACCAGUGAGACCUCCUUGACAGGUGUUCUGUAACACAGGAGGGUGGAGGCUAUAACAGGUCCGUGAUGCCCUUAGAUAUCCUGGGCAGCAAGCGCAAUACAAUAUCUCUUCAGUAGACAAAGUGAUUUGAGAUGAGUAGGAUCUACGUUUGUAAAUACGUAGUGAAUAAGGAAUUCCUAGUAACGGUGCCUCAUCAAGGCAUGGUGAAUGUGUCCCUGUUCUUUGUACACACCGCCCGUCACUAUUUCAGAUGGUCAUAGGGAUGAAGAGCUUCCGCUCUGAAUAUCUAUGGCUAGAUAAAGUACAGUCGUAACAGGUUUCAGUUGAGAACAGCUGAAGAUCAUUU
rnacentral:ncRNA from 1 species